UAAUUUAUGACAAACUUGCUUUAAAAGAAUUGUAUUGUGUUCCAGUUGAUUGAUUUAUCUAAUAAAUCAGUGACUGAAGAUUUGUGGAGCUGAAAGAAUUCAGUAUUCUUGUGGCACUACAUACCAAACACACAGUACAUUAAUGUGUUUAAAAUGUGAUCAAAUAUCAGUGCAGCAUGUUAAAUACGUUCUUACUCUGUUAUUUCACAUAAUUUACAGAUGAGGAACCAAAGAGAGACAUUUCUUUGGCUGUUGGAUUAGCUGUUGGCCUACCUCUUUCCAUCAUCAUCAUCAUCAUCAUCAUCAUCAUACUUCUCAUAUUGUACCUCUACAGAAAACAUAAAAGGCGUAACUGGAGUCCACAAAACCCAUAAAACCAAGGAAAUGUUUCUGAUGCUCAGCCCAACGUGUACGAAAUCAGCCUGAGAAGAAUAUUCCACUGAGGACGAGGAAUGGUGGUGCUGAAAGAUGAGGAUGCAGCUUCUGGUGGUGCUGAUGCAGAACAUGAAGAAACCUGUUUAUAAUGGAGAUAUAAUUGAACUGAAUUUAUUUAUUUUUCUAUCUGGUCAUCCAUUUCCAUCUAGUAUAUCACUUUUUUUUUUAUCUCUUUCUAAUCCGUCCUCUGGUGUUUGCUCUCUGCAAAUUGAUGAGAUGGCGUUUGCUUGUUUUAUUGUGGGUGCUGUUACCAUCAACAAAAUCAACAAAACCAAGGAAAUCGGGGGGAGCCAAAUUAAUCACAGGAGCUAA
rnacentral:lncRNA from 15 species